rnacentral:rRNA from 1 species
GAUGAACGCUGGCGGCGUGCCUAACACAUGCAAGUCGAACGGAGAUUACGGACGGAAGUUUUCGGAUGGAAGCCUGUAAUUCUUAGUGGCGGACGGGUGAGUAACGCGUGGGCAACCUGCCCUAUACAGGGGGAUAGCAGCUGGAAACGGCUGGUAAGACCGCAUAAGUCGGUUAAAUCGCAUGAUUUGAUCGGGAAAUGAGCAAUCAGGUAUAGGAUGGGCCCGCGUCCGUUUAGCCAGUUGGCAGGGUAAAAGCCUACCAAAGCGACGAUCGGUAGCUGGACUGAGAGGUCGGACGGCCACAUUGGGACUGAGACACGGCCCAAACUCCUACGGGAGGCAGCAGUGGGGGAUAUUGCACAAUGGAGGAAACUCUGAUGCAGCGACGCCGCGUGAGUGAAGAAGUAUUUCGGUAUGUAAAGCUCUAUCAGCAGGGAAGAUGAUGACGGUACCUGACUAAGAAGCCCCGGCUAACUACGUG